UAAAACCAAAUGUUUGUACGUGCGUAUCUGGCUUUUUACGGCACCGAUUUCAAAGUUAAAAACUGUAACCUUUUUUUUCACAGCGUGCUCGAAGUCGGUAUGUGCAUCGUGGGACCUAAAAAGGAAACAUUUCUACUUGAUGGUAAAGCUAAAAGUUAGUUAACUUGUAGUUUUACACUACCAGCUCAUUUAAAUAUUGGUUGUAGCAAUGGACGCCUACUGCAUAUAUUGGCAACUAACAAGGAUUCAUAUAAAGUAACUGUAGAAGAAAUCAAUAAGUAUUUUAACAUCAAAGUUUGUACUAAUUAGAUUCUGCAACUAGUUAAAACAUCAAAAAACUUUGUAAACCAUUUUUCACGAGAUUCAAAACAAUUUAUUGACAUCUGCAACAUGCUCUGUGCAUACAAAUAAUAACAUCUGCUAUGGCGCAAACAUCGCAAUCAAUUGCAACCUCAAUUCACAUUGCUAUAUGUUCUUCAUUUCCUUUUCAACAAAUCAGUGUUUUAUCUGUAUCAAACAGUGGUCACUUAUCUCUUUUAUCUGGUCCUGCUAUAGAAACCUCUUCUCAUGAACCACUAUCCAGUUAGAGAGCUGACUAGUUAAGUCCCAGAAAAAGGUUAUGAGAAAGAGAUUUAAUUUUUUUGUUUGAAACAGCAGUUAACAUUAAUCGAAACCAAGUUUUCUUAUCCAAAGGCAAUUUUAUACCAACAACUUGCUGACAAAAAUUAUGCAAUUCUUGUACUGCAAAAUGACAUUGAUACUGAUUUUACAGGAAGAGUUGGAGAAAAUUCAGCAAGUAACACAAAACACUAAAACUCAAAAACACUACUCAGCAGAUAUUAGAACACUUAUAUACGACAUGCUUGUGUGUUAGUUCCUGGUUUCAUUCACUACACAAUUCAUUUUCUACACAAUUCUGCAAUACAAACUUCGCUACAAGGAUUCAAAAGUGAUCCAAAGGGUUUUGGGUUCUUUUUGGACCAACACGAGUUGCCCAGAAGAUUGCUACCACGCUAUAGAGGGAACAGAAUACAUAUGCUUUUUUACACAUGUGGUACUUUGAUCUAUAAUUAUUCCAUAUUGAAGAUAUUUUUGUGUUCUGGCUUGACAUUAUGUGAAUGUCUGCAAAAUGGUUUGUUUCAAGACUUUACAUCUGAAACAGGUUUUAACUAAUAGCAUGCUAAAAGAUUGCAAUUUGCUACUGUCUUAAAGUCCUCAAGAUUAUAUUUUAUAAUUCAGUUACACAACGUGAUGAGUACUGCACGCUUGCUUUGAUGUUUGUUGAUCUUCUUCAUUUCAAUAUUAAAUCGAUAUCAUUAUAUAUGGUUUCCAUCGCGUACUAAAGAUUCGACUCCUUCUAUGGAUGUCACAGUUUUAUUUACUUCAAAAACUAGGCUUUUUUCAAGCCACAAUUCUGUUAAAAACAUUACUAAGCAAAUAAAAUAACUAUAGUGUAAA